CCUACGGGCGGCAGCAGUAGGGAAUCUUCCACAAUGGGCGAAAGCCUGAUGGAGCAACGCCGCGUGGGUGAAGAAGGUCUUCGGAUCGUAAAACCCUGUUGUUAGAGAAGAAAGUGCGUGAGAGUAACGGUUCACGUCUCGACGGUAUCUAACCAGAAAGCCACGGCUAACUACGUGCCAGCAGCCGCGGUAAUACGUAGGGGGCAAGCGUUAUCCGGAUUGAGUGGGCGUAAAGGGAACGCAGGCGGUCUUUUAAGUCUGAUGUGAAAGCCUUCGGCUUAACCGGAGUAGUGCAUUGGAAACUGGGAGACUUGAGUGCAGAAGAGGUGAGUGGAACUCCAUGUGUAGCGGUGAAAUGCGUAGAUAUAUGGAAGAACACCAGUGGCGAACGCGGCUCUCUGGUCUGUAACUGACGCUGAGGUUCGAAAGCGUGGGUAGCAAACAGGAUUAGAUACCCGUGUAGUC
rnacentral:rRNA from 1 species